UGGGGAAUAUUGCAAAAUGGGGGAAACCCUGAUGCAGCGACGCCGCGUGAAGGAAGAAGUAUCUCGGUAUGUAAACUUCUAUCAGCAGGGAAGACAAUGACGGUACCUGACUAAGAAGCCCCGGCUAACUACGUGCC
rnacentral:rRNA from 1 species